AUUGGACGCUGGCGGCAUGCCUUACACGUGCAAGUCGAACGGCAGCGGGGACUUCGGUCCGCCGGCGAGUGGCGAACGGGUGAGUAAUGCAUCGGAACGUACCCGGAAGUGGGGGAUAACGUAGCGAAAGUUACGCUAAUACCGCAUAUUCUGUGAGCAGGAAAGAGGGGGAUCUUCGGACCUCUUGCUUUCGGAGCGGCCGAUGUCAGAUUAGCUAGUUGGUGAGGUAAAGGCUCACCAAGGCGACGAUCUGUAGCGGGUCUGAGAGGAUGGUCCGCCACGCUGGAACUGAGACACGGUCCAGACUCCUACGGGAGGCAGCAGUGGGGAAUUUUGGACAAUGGGCGCAAGCCUGAUCCAGCCAUGCCGCGUGAGUGAAGAAGGCCUUCGGGUUGUAAAGCUCUUUCGGCCGGGAAGAAAUCGCAUGGAUUAAUACUCUGUGCGGAUGACGGUACCGGCAUAAGAAGCACCGGCUAACUACGUGCCAGCCGCCGCGGUAA
rnacentral:rRNA from 1 species